AUGGUAGUUCGAUUCCGGAGGACCAAGGCACCUUCCUCCGAGGAGCUGUCGCCCGUGCGCUUCCCCGGCGGCUGGUACUUCCCCGACGCCAGCACCUCCUUCGGUGUCUCAUCGCUCGCCAUCGCCUCUGAACACCACCGCCACUCUUCACCACUCUCGCCGCCGCCGCCGCCGCAAGGUCGCCUCCCUCAAACCGAGGCUCUGAUGCCAAUUGUCAGGGAAUUUAGCCCCUGGAUCAAUCAAACGCACGAAAUCAACCAGAGGUUGUCGGAGGAUACAAAAUUGACGAAGGAGCAACGGCAGGAAACGGCUCCAACAAUUUCUUGUUCUCCAACACGGACCAUUCACAUUGAGAGACGUCGCGUGCCUAGUUUUCGGGUGCUGGUGCGCAUUCUUCCUAUCACAUUGAAGUCCGCUCAGUUACGACUCUUCUUUAGCAAGCAUGGCAAAGUGCUCAAUGCUGAGGUAAUCCACUGUAAGAAGACACAUGUCUCACAUGUUAUCGGCCAUGUGACCAUAGAGACGACGCAUGCCCAUCUGGAUGAUGCUCUCAUGGAUCUCGACAAGCUGAUUCUGGAAGGGCACAGUCUGAAGAACAAGCUUGUCCUAGCCGAAGACUACAGCCAAACAAACCAUCUAGGGAUGAGGCACACACGAGCACGCCGAGGACCUGCUUGCAACAAAGUGUGGAAAGUGAGCCCGGCCAACGCCCAAGUAGAAAGACAUUACACAUCCGCCGUCUUUCUCGCCGCAGAGGGACCCUUCCCUCUCGCCAUGGCUCGCAAGGCGCCGUACCCGGCGGACUUGAGAGACGCUCACCCUAGAGCAGGGGACGUGAUAGCUUCAGGACCUGGAGCAGCCGCAGCACAUCACCACUUGAACUUUCGAGCUCUCCGCGACUGCCGCCUCGCCACAACCUAG
rnacentral:rRNA from 1 species